ACUUAACGGAACCGCAUCCCGGUUCUGUGGUAAGAAAGCCCCUCAUCGUAGGGGCUUUUUGUUAUUCAGAGCCGGGAUGGCGAGUGGGAAUGGGCGUUAUGCCCAUUUUUU
rfam:Alcanivorax dieselolei B5, complete genome.